rnacentral:piRNA from 1 species
UGGGAUUAAAGGUGUGCGCCACCACACCUGG